GAUGAAGCUGAUCUUGCAACAAAUACAGGUUUUAUAGGCUAAGAAAGUGUUGCUCUUUCGCUUCCCAACAUAACGACGACAGAUGACAUUGUAGGUCUCUGAGCUGGUUCGUCUUGCACACACAGCAAUCCAAUGUCGAUGAAACUUCAAGACCUCAGGCGCCGCCACAUUUGACUUCAAAAGUAAUGAGUCCACCAACUCCAUUCCUUAUCCUUUAGACUACAUCUUCCAUGCCUGGAAUAUAUCAUUUGAAGUUAUCGAUUAAU
rnacentral:misc_RNA from 1 species